CAGGGAGACAACAAAAUGUUUAAUAUUAUUAUUUUGUCACCUUAGGUCGAUCGGUAUCUCACGUUUUUAAUUUAUUAAGAAUUUCAUUUCCUAAGUUUUUCUAGGUCACACCCAUUAUUUUUCCUGGGCCAUUAGCUCAGGUGGUUAGAGCGCACCCCUGAUAAGGGUGAGGUCCCUGGUUCAAGUCCAGGAUGGCCCAUAUCUCUAUGUUGGGGGUAUAGCUCAGUUGGUAGAGCGCCUGCUUUGCAAGCAGGAUGUCAGCGGUUCGAGUCCGCUUACCUCCACUGAUUACCACCUCUUCCAUAACCGGUAGAAGGGAAAUGUUUUGAGUUGUGAUCAAAUCCUGAAAGAAUCUAGCUUCCUAAUGUAAUCAUUAAGAUGCUGGACUCAUUGAAUUAAUUUCAUUGUUUUCAGAGAACCUUGACAACUGCAUAGAUUAUUUUUAAAGACAAUAAGCAUCUUUAAUGAUGCAGAUUUAUUAUUUGUGCGAAUGCAUUAAUAACAAUUCUAUUAAGCUGAUGCUUCAAUUUUGAAGUUAUU
rnacentral:tRNA from 1 species